UGGGGUGUGGCUCAGUGGUAGAGUGCUUGCCUAGCAUGUGUGAGGCACUGGGUUCCAUCCUCAGCACCACAU
rnacentral:tRNA from 1 species